rnacentral:lncRNA from 1 species
GGGGAGUGGGGCAGUCGUGCCACCCUGGGGCAGGUGGUCCUGGGAUGGAUCAGAAAGCAAACAGGGCUUUUUCCUCCUUGGGCGUCUGAAGGCAAGAUGGGUCACCAGCAGCUCUACUGGAGUCACCCGCGGAAGUUCGGCCAGGGUUCUCGCUCUUGCCGCGUCUGCUCUAACCGCCACGGUCUGAUCCGUAAAUACGGGCUGAACAUGUGCCGACAGUGCUUCCGUCAGUACGCGAAGGACAUAGGCUUCAUUAAGUUGGACUAAGCGACCUGAAUGGAUGAUUCGACUGUCUACCCAGUGAAACCAACUGUCUACCCUGUGAUACCAAUCAUGCUAGUCUUUGUGCACACAGAAUAAAAAACUGAAGGCCUCAAAAAAAAAAAAAAAAAAAAAAAAAAAAAAAAAAAAAAAAAAAAAAAAAAAAAGAAAGCAAACAGGAAGCCACGAAAAGCAAGCCGGUUUCUGUUAGUUCUGGAGCCGGAGAGUGUCUCCCCACCCAGGGCCACUGCAAGGGUGCAGCAGAAGCAGAAUGCAGCUCCCAGGACAGGAAUCUGAUCCCCAAGACCUUUGGCCAUAGAGAAAAAGCUCCUGUAUGGGGCACCAAGUUGUAAGAAGUGAGUGUGGGAUCUUACAAAAAUGGCCACACGAUCCAAAGGAGGUCUGCAAGGUACAAAAUGUUGUUUUUGGGAACUAUGUGUUACUUUUGCCCAGUGGUGCACAGAUGGGAACAAGAGUUUGUGGAGUGCUCUGCCACAAGUGUCAAAUCUGUAUCGAAUCAAGACUUAAGGAGCGUAAGAGCCAGCGAGCAGAAAGGAACAGAGCAAAACAGACUCUUACCGGUGCUGCAGGGCCACUGUGCUUGUGAACCACAGCAGCUGUGGUUGUCUGCACAAGAUCAAGCCAGUUAACAUUGCAGCACAGAGACGGGAGAGGCUUAUGAGCCCCUACCCUGAACUGAGGAGCUAGGAACAGCUGAAUGUUUCUGGAGAAAAGAAAGUCCGUGUUUUUACAAGGUUGCAGCCCUUGACCGUUUGAU